GUUUUCAUUUUCUUUUCCAGGAAAAUUUGUGAAUUUGUGAGUUGUGAAUUGUGAUCCUGAUCAGUGAAAAUGAAAAGAUUACAAGUAGUUGUACAUUGUCCGGGUAGAUUGCUGAAGUUUUUUCCAGUUUUUCCGCUGGAUUAUUCGACAGAAAUGAACGCAUUCAUAUCCUUGUAAAUUGUGAGUAAAUGUCAACCAGAGUUGAAGAAUCGCUCAUUAAUACAUUUCGCACGAAAUGUACGACAGAUAACGUUAUCAGUAUGAUGCAAGACGUCUGUAAUAAGUGAUAAUAUUUCUCACUGGAGUACCUAGCUAUUCUACUACCUGGGAUUUUUUAAUCAGUACCACUGCUACAUAUGAAGAUGUACGAUCAUCCAAGAUGCUUAAAUAUAAACCAACUCGAUUGAUGAUUCUACUACUGGGAAUAGCUUCGAAUAGAACCAUUGGCCAUUUCAUAAACGUGGAUAAUAAUUUGUCGUGGGCAUGUCGAGAAAUAUUGAAAGAUAUUCUACCAAUGCUUGCUUGAUAAAUGAAGCAUAUUACAACUGAAAAUACAUGAAAUUUUAUCGAAUGCUCUAAA